rnacentral:rRNA from 1 species
UACAGAGGUCCCAAGCGUUGUUCGGAUUCAUUGGGCGUAAAGGGUGCGUAGGUGGCGCCGUAAGUCAGGUGUGAAAUUUCGGAGCUUAACUCCGAAACUGCAUUUGAUACUGCGGUGCUUGAGGACUGGAGAGGAGACUGGAAUUCUCGGUGUAGCGGUGAAAUGCGUAGAUAUCGAGAGGAACACCUGCGGCGAAGGCGGGUUGCUGGGCUGACACUGACGCUGACGCGCGAAAGCCAGGGGAGCGAAACG